rnacentral:rRNA from 1 species
UACGUAGGGGGCAAGCGUUGUCCGGAAUGACUGGGCGUAAAGGGAGUGUAGGCGGCUCAUCAAGUUAGAUGUGAAAUCCCGCGGCUUAACCGCGGAACUGCAUCUAAAACUGGUAAGCUGGAGAGCAGGAGAGGGCGGUGGAACUCCAUGUGUAGCGGUAAAAUGCGUAGAUAUAUGGAAGAACACCAGUGGCGAAGGCGGCUGUCUGGUCUGCAACUGACGCUGAGGCUCGAAAGCAUGGGUAGCGAACAGG